rnacentral:lncRNA from 1 species
UUCUGUCUCUUUUUCCUCUUCAAUAAUUUAUGUAUACUUGGCAUCAAAUGCAACAUUUCCAAGAUGUAAUGUUAUUUCUAAUCCUACUGCUAAAAUUGUAUGGAAAAAAGGAUUUAGAGAACUACCGACUACAAGAUCAAUUCAAUCAGGUUCUGGUGAUUUUAUAAUUAUGGAUGUCCGUGUAGAAAACGAAGGCUUUUAUGUUUGUUCAGCAGAAAAUUAUUUAGGUGCAGAUUCUGACGCAGCUAAAAACAAAACCAUUAAAAAUUAUUUAUGGACAUUUAACAACAGACUCUGGCAGAGUCUGUUGUUUUUAGCUUCCCCAGCACGCUCUGGUAUGGUUCAUUUGGAAAAACCAGUCAAAUGUCUGGAAACUCGCAAUCUUUAACUACUGGUCAAGCUAUUGAACAUACCGAAAUAAAGAAUAGAAGUUUUUAUAAUAUUACAAUACAAGUUACUGAAAGCGGUAAAUACUCAUGUGAGUUUGAUGAUGGUAUAUCAACAGUUAAUAGAGUUUCUGUGAUGCGAAAUAUUGCAUCUGUUUUCAACUGAGAGGG